UGAGGAAUCUUGCGCAAUGGGGGAAACCCUGACGGAGCGACGCCGCGUGGACGAUGGAGGCCGUAAGGUUGUAAAGUCCUUUUGCAGGUGAAGAAUAAGCCGGGGAGUGGAGUGCCCUGGUGAUGACGUUAGCCUGCGAAUAAGCCCCGGCCAAUUACGUGCCAGCAGCCGCGGUAAUACGUAUGGGGCGAGCGUUGUUCGGAGUUAUUGGGCGUAAAGGGCGUGUAGGCGGCUCGAGAAGUCUGGUGUGAAAUCGCAGGGCUCAACCCUGCGGGUGCGCUGGAAACUGACGGGCUUGAGUCGCGGGGGGGAAGCUGGAAUUCCUGGUGUAGGAGUGAAAUCUGUAGAGAUCAGGAAGAACACCGGUGGCGAAGGCGAGCUUCUAUUCGAGGACUGACGCUGAGGCGCGAAAGCGUGGGGAGCAAACAG
rnacentral:rRNA from 1 species